rnacentral:rRNA from 1 species
UACGGGGGGAGCAAGCGUUGUUCGGAAUCACUGGGCGUAAAGGGCGUGUAGGCGGUCAGGUAAGUGAGACGUGAAAUGCCCCGGCUUACCCGGGGACCUGCGUCUCAUACUGCUUGGCUUGAGUACGGGAGAGGGUGUGGGAAUUCCUGGUGUAGCGGUGAAAUGCGUAGAUAUCAGGAGGAACACCGGUGGCGAAGGCGCACACCUGGCCCGAUACUGACGCUGAGGCGCGAAAGCUAGGGGAGCAAACGGG